rnacentral:lncRNA from 1 species
AUAUUCAAAUAAUGAAAACAUGCCUGUUUAAAAAUUUCAAGGCUUCAAUUUGACAGACCAUUUUGAUUAUUAUGCCCCUCAACGCUAUGCGAAAGGGCAUCACGAGCUUACCCUUGUCCGUCUGUCCGUAUAAUUGAUUUACGUUCUCUUAUAUACUUCAGUUUGUGUAAACCUAAUAUGAACUCUAUACGACAAUGCUUAUUCAACCAAACACAGAUCAAAUACGAAUUCAGGUGGCGUGGCCGUCACUUUCACCAUUUUAUAAUUAUCAUUCGGUUCCUUUAUAACAGCAAAUUAAAACAGGCCAAAAUAAUAAAGAAUACAGAAAUGAAGGAAUCCAUCCAUUACCCUCAUAUCUGAACAAGGGCUUACAUUUGAACAAUGAAUAUGUUAGUUAUUUGAUACUUAGGUGGUCAUAUGUGUUUUUUUUUUCUUUUUUUCUUUUUUUGAAAGAGACGUUUUGCGCCUCUUACCUUAUAUUUUUUUAAUACUUAUCUAUUUACAUCAAAAGCUUUAGAACUUUGGUUGUAUUGUGUUUGAAUGGCGAGAGAAGGCACGGGCAGAUUUACCUGCAGUCAAAGAUUUGAAGACAGUCUUGUAUGAGGAUCUUGAUAGGGGUAUUGAUUUCUGUAUUUUCAAAACUUCAGGCCAUCAUUGUCUGUGGGUUUUUAUGCCCCACCUACGAUAGUAGAGGGGCAUUAUGUUUUUAGGUCUGUGGGUCCGUUCGUCCGUUCGCCUGUGCGUCCGUUCGUCCCGCUUCAGGUUAAAGUUUUUGGUCAAGGUAGUUUUUGAUGAAGCUGAUGUCCAAUCAACUUCAAACUUAGUACACAUGUUCCUUAUGAUACGAUCUCUUUCUAAUUCAAAUGCUAAAUUAGAUUUUUAACCCAAUUUGACGGUCCAUUGAACAUUGAAAAUGAAAGUGCGAGUGGGGCAUCCGUGUACUUUGGACACAUUCUUGUUUCGGAUUUUUUUUUUUUGCCCGUUUUUCUACUUCAUCCCCAAUCAUUGGCUAUAUAUUCCAUAAACACCC